AUUCAUUAGCUGUUAUUGUUACUAUAAUUGAGGCACUCAGACAUUAUAAAGAUGAAAAUUGACAAAGCCCCUGCCUUCUAGGAGUUUGCUCUUAUCAAAUCUCUGAGGAGAUGGUCAGUUCUCCUUGCUAGUUCAUGGUCUUUCCCUUGUCCCUAAGUGUGACGGCAUCCUUGCAUUUCUCCUCCCAAUGCGUGAUUUCAAUGAUCACCUCUCUUUGGUUGCCUUCAUUAUUUGUAUAUUCAACUCUAAUUUCUCCUCUGAGCUCUAGAUCUACAUAUAUCUCACCACUUGCUAGAAGUCUCUGUCUGAAUGCUCAAUUUGAUGCCUCAAACUCCACCAUAUCCCAAGCUGAACUCACCAUAUUCUCCUCUAAACCCUAUCUUCCUUUCAACUACCCUAUUUCUCUUGUUGAUUCUGCCAUUCCCCCCAGUCAUCUAUACUCAAAACCAAGAUACUAUCUUUGACUUUUCCUUUUCCCUCAUCCUCCUUGUCAACUCAAAUGUCAAAGCUUGUCCACUUUUCCUCUUUGAUAUCUUCCAUAUCUCUUUUCUUUCACUCAUUACCACCUCCCUAAUUCAAUCCCUGAAUUAUUGUAAUAGUUUCCUAAUCUGUUCCCUUAUCUCACCUCUCCUAUCCUUCACACUUUUGCCAAAGUAAUCUUAAUCAAUAAGCCUAUUAACCUCCUGAAUGCCCGGCAUUGUGCUAGAGAUAUAAUGACAAAAGUCAAAAUGCCUCUGCCUUAUCAGAACUUUAAUUUUAACUAGAGAUGACAUGCACACAGGAAAAUAUAUGUGGAAUAUAGACAACAUAAAGUCAUUUUGAGGAAGGAUACUAGCAGCUGGGAGGAAUCAGAAAGGCUUCAUGUAUAAGAUGGUGCUUAAGCUAAGUUUUAAAAGAAACCAGAUGAGAAGGGAGAGCAUCCAAACCAUAGCAAAGGUCGGAUCUCAUUCUUCUGUCCAUCUUUUGGGCUAACUUGUAAGAUAAAAUGAAUGUUCCUUUUCCUGACAUUUUAAAGAUCCUUCUCUGUCUGAUUCUUUCCGAUUUUUCCCCUCCUUAAUGCACAUUAUUACAUUUCACAAACUAUAUACCAGUCAUAAUGAACUAGUUUUGUUCCCUGAUCUUAUCAUGUGUUUCUCUGUGACUAAAUUAUCAUCCUUUAGAGUGUCAUUCAGGUGCCAUCUCCUCCGGGAAGUCUUACAAAGUAAAGGAGAACGUAGGAGACACCACUGGAUGCAAAAUUAUUUCCUGAAUUCUUCCACUGAAACUUCUCUCUUGGGGCAGCUAGGUGGUGCAGUAGAAAGAGAACCAGUGCCCUCAGACACUUAACAUUUCCUGGCUGUGUGACUCUGGGCAAGUCCCUUAACCCCAAGUGCUUCAUCAAAAAAAUAAAAUAAAAAAGAAAGAAAGAAACUUA